rnacentral:lncRNA from 1 species
GAUACACGCAUCAUGAAUGCCAUGAGAUAUACUAGGGUGCUUGCAUUAGAAUUCACGAAUAUGUUGCAUUGCAUAAUAUGUUGCUGAUGUGGGUGAAUAUUGGAUGAUCCUUUAGCCGCACUACGUUAUGAUAUGAUGUGAUACGGUAUGGAAGACUAGUGAGGCCCAUUCUACGCCCCUGGCACUAUGUAAGAGAAAGACCAGUGAGGCCCAUUCUACACCCCUGGCAUAUUGGAAUGUUAUGUUAUGAAUGUAAUGUAAGAGAAAGACCAGUGAGGCCCAGUCUACGCCCCUGGCACUAUUGGAAUGAGUAGUGGGCUAUUGGUGACAAGUUCACCCUUGAUGUGGAUUGUUUGUGAUAUGUUGCAUUUCAUGAAAGCAUGAAAUUUCAAUUGAAUGUUUAAUUAUUCUGCUCACUGGG